GCUAGAUACAGUGGUUAGCGGUGUUGCUAAAUGGCAGUGGUCUUGGUUAUUGGUGUUGCUAGAUGGCAUUGGUCUUGGUUAGAGGUGUUGCUAGAUGGCAUGGUCUUGGUUAGCGGUGUUGCUAGAUGGCAGUGGUCUUGGUUAGAGGUGUUGCUAGAUGGCAGUGGUCUUCGUUAGAGGUGUUGCUAGAUGCAGUGGUUAGCGGUGUUGCUAAAAGGCAGUGGUCUUGGUUAUUGGUGUUGCUAGAUGGCAUUGGUCUUGGUUAGAGGUGUUGCUAAAUGUCAGUGGUUAGAGGUGUUGCUAAAUGGCAUUGGUCUUGGUUAGCGGUGUUGCUAGAUGCAGUGGUUAGCGGUGUUGCUAAAAGGCAGUGGUCUUGGUUAUUGGUGUUGCUAGAUGGCAGUGGUCUUCGUUAGAGGUGUUGCUAAAUGUCAGUGGUUAGAGGUGUUGCUAGAUGGCAGUGGUCUUCGUUAGAGGUGUUGCUAAAUGUCAGUGGUUAGAGGUGUUGCUAGAUGGCAGUGGUCUUCGUUAGCGGUGUUGCUAUACGGCAGUGCCAGUAGACGACCAGUAGACGGCAGAAAGUGCCUAGUAACAGCAACAGUCUCUCAUCUCUCUGUGUGGAAUAGGAAGCUGCUAUAGUAAACAGGAAGUGACGGCGGCUUAGCUGUUCCCCCCCAAUCCCUCCAAUCGUCAUCCCUCCUCUGCUCUUCCUCUCCCCUCCCUCUGUUCUCCAGACUGAAUAUAGAACUGUGAUGAUGUUGAUGGCCUGGAGUGUCGUGCAGACUGUGUUUUCGGUUUUCUUUGAGGAUGUGUGUGUGUGUG
ensembl:lncRNA